CUAGCCUUUUGCCGGGUGUCUUGUUCCGUUAUUGCCGCCUUAGUUGCCGGUUACCGGUGUUUGAUUCCAUAUUGAUCGCUCCUAACACGUUCGGGGUUGUUACGGGGACCCCCUUGAUAAAUCGCGUAGUGUUAAGGCUUGUCCGGCACGACCCAACUUUGGUUUUAAACUGCUAAUCACAUAAUAAUCUGCAUAGGGAAUAGCUACCCCGAGGA
rnacentral:lncRNA from 1 species